GACGAACGCUGGCGGCGUGCUUAACACAUGCAAGUCGAACGGUGAAGCGCCUUCCUUUUUGGUGGGUGUGGAUGAGUUGCGAACGGGUGAGUAACACGUGCGUAACCUGCCCCCUUCUUCUGGAUAACCGCAUGAAAGUGUGGCUAAUACGGGAUAUUCUGGGUCUGUCGCAUGAUGGGUCUGUGAGAGCUAUUGUUUCGGUGUGGGCUGGUCUCGCGGCCUAUCAGGUUGUUGGUGGGGUGAUGGCCUACCAAGGCGGUGAGGAGUAGCCGGCCUGAGAGGGUGGACGGGCACACUGGGACUGAGACACGGACCAGACUCCGACGGGAGGCAGCAGUGGAGAAUAUUGCACAAUGGGCGCAAGCCUGAUGCAGCGACGCGGCGUGAGGGAUGGAGGCCGUCGGGUUGUGAACCUCUUUCGCCAGUGAAGCAGGCCUGCCUAGUAUGUGGGUGGGUUGACGGUAGCUGGAUAAGAAGCGCCGGCUAACUACGUG
rnacentral:rRNA from 1 species